rnacentral:rRNA from 1 species
GUGUCAGCCGCCGCGGUAAUACGUAGGUGGCAAGCGUUGUCCGGAAUUAUUGGGCGUAAAGGGCUCGCAGGCGGUUCCUUAAGUCUGAUGUGAAAGCCCCCGGCUCAACCGGGGAGGGUCAUUGGAAACUGGGGAACUUGAGUGCAGAAGAGGAGAGUGGAAUUCCACGUGUAGCGGUGAAAUGCGUAGAGAUGUGGAGGAACACCAGUGGCGAAGGCGACUCUCUGGUCUGUAACUGACGCUGAGGAGCGAAAGCGUGGGGAGCGAACA